AGCAAAUUUCCUUCAGCAGAGAAAGGGAAAUUCUAAUAAAGGAAGGGGAACAGCUUUUAGGAACAGGCUUGUCCGUUUCCUGAGAGCAGGACUGAAAGUUUUCUGUUUUUUAUCUGCGGCACAACUUCAAAAUGUUUUCUGAGUGAGGGCUGCUGCUUAAUCACCGCCACACCUUUAUGCAUUUCCAGACGUGCUGCUUUUGGCCUUUAAAGCCCAAAUGGCUUGGGACUGGGUUACCUGUAGGACUGGUGCAAGGAUAGCCGCUAUCUAUACAGAGCACUAGGAUGGUUCCACAACCCUUCUGUAACUGUGCUGUAACCUAGAAAUGUCUGCCCUCUCUUUGAGAAACUUCAGAAUUGCCCCUUACUGAAGGGGACCAGAAGGAGACCACCUAACACACCAUUCUGUAUCCAACAGCGGAGGCCUCUGGAAGCUCACAGGCUGAUGCAUUAUGCAAUUGGCCAUUCCCUCACAUUUGUCCCAGUUCUGUUUUCAUUUUACUUCCAGCAUUGCAACAGUGGCAUCAGCUGCUUUAAGGAAGAAAAGAACGAAAAAGAUAUGCAUUGCCUGAGGCUAUGAGAUGAUCCUGAAGAUUUUUGUUGAGUACAGACUUUGGAAAGAGCAAUAUGGAUGCAAUGAUAUAUAAGCAAAGCAGUACCAAAGUUCUGGUGGUGUGCACUUUGGAUACAUCUGCAUGAAACUAUAGUUCAGUGUUAUGAGAGCAAGCCUAGGGCUCAUGCACUCUCCCCUCCCCUCUGGUGUGGCUUGUGAGGAGGCGAUCAAGCAUUUCUGCUUCUAUUUUUUAUUAACCACAGUAUCCUUAACUGGGGUCACUCUUAACUAUAGUUCUCCAGAGCAAGCCAGAUAAAUAAACCUGCGGUGUGCGCGUGUGUGCAAGCCAGAGACUUGCAAAGGCUUGGCCUCAUAAUGCUAAAUCAUGAUGCAAACACAGCCUAAAUGUAGAUGAACUAUUAACUGUGCAAUGCUAAGCAUGUUUUCUCAGAAGUAAGCAUAUUAAAUUCAAAUACACCCAGGUAAGCAGGGUUUAACGAUCCUUUUUUAUUUCUGUGAUCUCCUUUGGGAGAGGACAAUUGUCUGAAAAGCAGGAUAAAAAUAUUAAAAGGGAAUAAAUAAUAUUGUUUUGUCCUAUGAA